UCCUUUGCUUUUUCUUUCAAUAUUAUUGAAGUAUCCUUUGUGAGCAAUUCUUGUGAAGUCCCUUGACGAGCCUUAUUUCCUUGAAUUUUCAUCUUAGAAGAAUUUCCUUCUCUUGUAUCAUUAAAAUUUCUUCUCCUCUUUUCUUCUAUUAAAGCUUUAUGAUGGCUUUAAGCAGUAUAUGUAUAUGCUAAUAAAGCUUCUAUAAGAUCCUUUCAGCUUGUAGUACCAUAAAUUAUUGUAGCAGUUUUUAAAAAAGCUUUUUGUUGCAUCUUCUCUUUUUGCAUUGUAGAAAUGAUAGAAGACCAAAGUCCAAUUGGUUGAAUAUUUCCAAAAAAAAUUUAUUUACUAUCAUGAUCUACUCUUAUUCCAUAACUUAUAGCUUCUAUUGCUAUAAUCCCAUG
rnacentral:lncRNA from 1 species